AUUGAACGCUGGCGGCAUGCCUUACACAUGCAAGUCGAACGGCAGCACGGGGCAACCUGGUGGCGAGUGGCGAACGGGUGAGUAAUGCAUCGGAACGUACCUUUCAGUGGGGGAUAACGUAGCGAAAGUUACGCUAAUACCGCAUAUUCUGUGAGCAGGAAAGCAGGGGAUCGCAAGACCUUGCGCUGAUUGAGCGGCCGAUGUCAGAUUAGCUAGUUGGUGAGGUAAAGGCUCACCAAGGCGACGAUCUGUAGCGGGUCUGAGAGGAUGAGCCGCCACACUGGAACUGAGACACGGUCCAGACUCCUACGGGAGGCAGCAGUGGGGAAUUUUGGACAAUGGGGGCAACCCUGAUCCAGCCAUGCCGCGUGAGUGAAGAAGGCCUUCGGGUUGUAAAGCUCUUUCGGCCGGGAAGAAAUCGCACAGGCUAAUACCCUGUGUGGAUGACGGUACCGGAAUAAGAAGCACCGGCUAACUACGUGCCAGCCGCCGCGGUAAGAC
rnacentral:rRNA from 1 species